GUGCGCCUGGGAGAGCACAACCUGCGCAAGCGCGAUGGCCCAGAGCAACUACGGACCACGUCUCGGGUCAUUCCACACCCGCGCUACGAAGCGCGCAGCCACCGCAACGACAUCAUGUUGCUGCGCCUAGUCCAGCCCGCACGCCUGAACCCCCAGGUGCGCCCCGCGGUGCUACCCACGCGUUGCCCCCACCCGGGGGAGGCCUGUGUGGUGUCUGGCUGGGGCCUGGUGUCCCACAACGAGCCUGGGACCGCUGGGAGCCCCCGGUCACAAGGUGCGUGAAAGGAUGGAGCUGGAUGCGAGGCCUCAAGGAAUCCUAUGCUCCAGGGCUCUUGGGCGGAGGGGACAAGGGCCGGAAUUUAUGGAUCUGCUCCAAGUCCACUGUCUUCCCCAGUGAGUCUCCCAGAUACGUUGCAUUGUGCCAACAUCAGCAUUAUCUCGGACACAUCUUGUGACAAGAGCUACCCAGGGCGCCUGACAAACACCAUGGUGUGUGCAGGCGCGGAGGGCAGAGGCGCAGAAUCCUGUGAGGUCAGAGCCUAGAGGGGCCAUCAGGCGGAAGAAGAGGGAUGGGGACAGGUGUGGGAGUCCGGAUGGGGUUGGAUUUUCUUUGCUUUGGGCCAGAGAAGAUGCUAGGGUUAGGCUUGGAGAUGGAGUAGGAAGAGAAGUUAGAAUAGGGGUGAGGUUGGAGUUGGGGUUAUAGGUGGGGAUUGCGUUGUUUGAGGUGGAUAAUGUGAUAGUUAGUUUGAGAUGGCAUGGGUUGGGGUUGAGAAUGGGAAUGGUUUGGUUUGAUUCUGGGUGGGAAAUACGUCAGGGUUGAAUUGGGAUGAGGUAGAUUUUGUUUGGAAUGCAGAAGACAUGAAGAUUGAGAUUGGAUUUUGAGAUGGGCAUGGGUUUGAUUUGAUUUUGAAUGGUGAGGAUGUGGGCUGAGUUGGAUUUAACUUAGUACAGUUGCACUGGAGUUGCAUGGGGGUGAGAUUGGAUAUAGGUUGGGUGAGUUGUAUUGAGCUGUGUUGAAUUGGGGUUGGGGUUGGGGUUGGGUUGGCUCUGUUUGGGAUAAACUGGGCUGUAUUGAGUUGAGUUGGGUUGGGGUUCCCUGGGAUGGGGAUGGAUUGGGUUUGGGGUGAGAUUGCAAAUGGUGAUUAGGAUGAGGAUGAAUCCAGGAGGUUUCACUCAACCUGAGACCCCCUCUUUUCCCCACAGGGUGACUCUGGGGGACCCCUGGUCUGUGGGGGCAUCCUGCAGGGCAUUGUGUCCUGGGGUGACGUCCCUUGUGACAACACCACCAAGCCUGGUGUCUAUACCAAAGUCUGCCACUACUUGGAGUGGAUCAGGGAAACCAUGAAGAGGAACUGACUAUUCUAGCCUAUCUCCUGUGCCCCUGACUGAGCAGAAGCCCCCACAGCUGGCCAGCAGCCC
rnacentral:lncRNA from 1 species